CUCUGGUGGCCAGAAAAAGUCCUACGGCAAAGAAAUGCAGAUACUAGCAGUUGGACCUCCAGCCAGUGUAGUGGAUGGAUUGGUAAAGCUGAAAGCAAAGAACUCUUUAGAUAGUGGAGUCACACUGGAAAAAGCACAGACCCUUGAGUGUACUGCUUGGAGGAGAGCUACCCUGGAGCAUUUGCUCCAGAUUCUGCAUGAGCAAAAAAUAAACUUUUGCUGCAUAAAGUA